rnacentral:tRNA from 1 species
ACGGCCGGCCGCGCGGCGAUGUUGCGCAGCCGCUUGAGGCGGGGCGUGGUCUUGGGUUUGUGGUCCACGGCGGUGACGAUCCCGUCCGGGCCGUA